rnacentral:rRNA from 1 species
AGUGAACGCUGGCGGUAGGCCUAACACAUGCAAGUCGAACGGCAGCACAGUAAGAGCUUGCUCUUACGGGUGGCGAGUGGCGGACGGGUGAGGAAUACAUCGGAAUCUACUUUUUCGUGGGGGAUAACGUAGGGAAACUUACGCUAAUACCGCAUACGACCUACGGGUGAAAGCAGGGGAUCUUCGGACCUUGCGCGAUUGAAUGAGCCGAUGUCGGAUUAGCUAGUUGGCGGGGUAAAGGCCCACCAAGGCGACGAUCCGUAGCUGGUCUGAGAGGAUGAUCGGCCACACUGGAACUGGAACACGGUCCAGACUCCUAAGGGAGGCAGCAGUGGGGAAUAUUGGACAAUGGGCGCAAGCCUGAUCCAGCCAUACCGCGUGGGUGAAGGAGGCCUUCGGGUUGUAAAGCCCUUUUGUUGGGAAAGAAAAGCAGCAGGUUAAUACCCCGCUGUUCUGACGGUACCCAAAGAAUAAGCACCGGCUAACUUCGUG